UAGUACUCUUGGCCGACAUGAAACUCAUAGCCCAAUGAGAAGGCGCUGUAGCGCUGGAACUUCUCAGAGAACUUGAUAGGCGCGUGGGGGGCGUGGGGCCGGUUGCACUCCCACCUCUUGAAGCCCAUUUGAGGGUCACAGUUCCUGUAACCACGGUAGCUGACCAUGUAGAGGACGUACUGCUCUCCUGUGCCCACCAUGCGCUGGCUGUCAUUGUAAUGAGGGCAGUAGAUGUCUAGGUAGUCGUUGACGUUCACCUGCAUCGUGUAACCCUCCCUGCGAAGACUGAACAAAAGGAUAAAAACACAGAUGUUUGGGGUCCGCAGAGACGUUUGCAGUUGUUUUCCUGCCCUUGACCCGUUGAAGUGAGGAAAGGGCUAUUGUAUUUAAAGAACACAGAGCUUCCUCUUCAGGAUGGACUCAAGGGCCCAGGGCAACAAGCUUCUUCUUCUGGUGUCAGCGCUGCAUUGUCCCCUAACCCCUGUGCUCGUACAUCAACCAGAACACAAACGCUGCGCUCGCAUCACCCGUCAAAGUUUGGGCAACAUUCGUCUCCAACCUCCAAGCUCAUAUAUCAGCUCCAACUCUAAAAAGGGCUCAGUUUGACAGGAAGAUAAGGUCUGGUUUUGCAACUGUAUGUGUGUGUGUGUACAGCAGACAACCAAAGGGCCUUUUCUCCCCUCUUUAAAUGUAUCGGCUGGUAUUUAUGUGACAUAGACAAUUUGCAGCUGUAAAUCAUACACACAACCAUGAGCAUAUACGGACACUCAAUCACUUUAAGUUUUAACGGUGACACCAUAAAGUCACAAGAGGGCAGCAGAGUGCAAUCUUUAGCCCCUCUCCCUGAUUGCAAGUUCUAGGUCAUGUCUCCCAGGAGAUUAUUAUUCAAUUAUUAUAUGAAGAUCGAACUCCUAUUCCUGGUGUCUCUUUCUCUCUCUCUCUCUCUCUGCUUUGCUUCUCACUGCUAACUUAAAAUCCUUCCUGAAUUUGACUAUUUCUCCCUCACUGCUAU